rnacentral:rRNA from 1 species
CCUACGGGAGGAAGCAGUGAGGAAUAUUGGUCAAUGGGCGCGAGCCUGAACCAGCCAAGUCGCGUGAGGGAAGACGGUCCUAUGGAUUGUACACCUCUUUUGUCGGGGAGCAAAAGACGCCACGCGUGGCGUUCCGAGAGUACCCGAAGAAAAAGCAUCGGCUAACUCCGUGCCAGCAGCCGCGGUAAUACGGAGGAUGCGAGCGUUAUCCGGAUUUAUUGGGGUUAAAGGGUGCGCAGGCGGAAGAUCAAGUCAGCGGUAAAAGUGAGAGGCUCAACCUCUUCGAGCCGUGGAAACGGGUUGUCUUGAGUGAGUGAGAGGGAUGCGGGAUGCGUGGGGUAGCGGUGAAAUGCAUGGAUAUCACGCAGAA